GAUGAAGAACGCAGCGAAAUGCGAUACGUAGUGUGAAUUGCAGAAUUCAGUGAAUCAUCGAAUCUUUGAACGCACAUUGCGCCCUUUGGUAUUCCAAAGGGCAUGCCUGUUCGAGCGUCAUUUGUACCUUCAAGCUUUGCUUGGUGUUGGGCGUUUUUUGUCUCCCUCUUUCUGGGAGACUCGCCUUAAAACGAUUGGCAGCCGGCCUACUGGUUUCGGAGCGCAGCACAUAUUUUGCGCUUUGUAUCAGGAGAAAAGGACGGUAAUCCAUCAAGACUUCUACAUUUUUAACUUUUGACCUCGGAUCAGGUAGGGAUACCCGCUGAACUUAAGCAUAUCAAAAGCGGAGGA
rnacentral:misc_RNA from 1 species